rnacentral:rRNA from 1 species
GAUGAACGCUAGCGGCAGGCUUAAUACAUGCAAGUCGAACGGUAAGUGUUGUAGCAAUAUAGCACGAGAGUGACGUACGGGUGCGUAACACGUAUGCAACCUACCUUGUACAGGAGUAUAGCUCGGGGAAACUCGAAUUAACACUCCAUAAUGUAAUGAUGAGGCAUCUCAUUAUUACUAAAACUCCGGUGGUAUAAGAUGGGCAUGCGUCUGAUUAGUUAGUUGGCGGUGUAACGGACCACCAAGACGAUGAUCAGUAGGGGACCUGAGAGGGUGAUCCCCCACACUGACACUGAGAUACGGGCCAGACUCCUACGGGAGGCAGCAGUAGGGAAUAUUGGUCAAUGGAUGCAAGUCUGAACCAGCCAUGCCGCGUGCAGGAAGAAGGCGUUAUGCGUUGUAAACUGCUUUUGCCAGGGGAUAAAAUGAGCGUGCGCGCUUAAUUGAAGGUACCUGGUGAAUAAGCCACGGCUAACUACGUGCCAGCCGCCGCCGUAA